rnacentral:misc_RNA from 1 species
GGUGCAGAAACAGCGCUUCGGCGCGUAUAUUACGCACC